rnacentral:tRNA from 1 species
AAUCAAUAAGCUUUUAGAAGCACAUGUUUUGAAAGCAUGAGAAAAGGAUUAAAAUCCUUAUUGAUUU